rnacentral:sRNA from 1 species
UUGACCAAGCCCUGGAGACUGAAGUUCUCUGUUCAUCUAUGGGACAGAUGCAACCAGGGCAUCAUCAGGGCAAGCUUUCCACAUGAUGCUUCCUGCCAAUGUGCCUCAGUCCUAGGAAAGAGGGCCCACUCCUGGGUACAAGUGGACAGUUCAGUCUCCAUGGCUAAUUCAAUACCUGGGCUCU